rnacentral:rRNA from 1 species
AUCCUGGCUCAGGAUGAACGCUAGCUACAGGCUUAACACAUGCAAGUCGAGGGGCAGCAUUAUCGAAGCUUGCUUUGAUAGAUGGCGACCGGCGCACGGGUGAGUAACGCGUAUCCAACCUUCCCCAUAGUCAGGAAUAGCCCGGCGAAAGUCGAAUUAAUACCCAAUGACGUCUCUAGAAGACAUCUGAAAGAGAUUAAAGAUUUAUCGGUGAUGGAUGGGGAUGCGUCUGAUUAGCUAGUUGGCGGGGUAACGGCCCACCAAGGCGACGAUCGGUAGGGGUUCUGAGAGGAAGGUCCCCCACAUUGGAACUGAGACACGGUCCAAACUCCUACGGGAGGCAGCAGUGAGGAAUAUUGGUCAAUGGGCGAGAGCCUGAACCAGCCAAGUAGCGUGCAGGAUGACGGCCCUAUGGGUUGUAAACUGCUUUUAUAAGGGAAUAAAGUGGGUCUCGUGAGACUUUUUGCAUGUACCUUAUGAAUAAGGACCGGCUAAUUCCGUG